CUUCAAAUGAAUAUUUGGAAAAUAGUUUGAUUAAUACUCCAAGACCUAACAAAAUGUAUGUACAACUCCUAUCCUUCUCUGACGCUUCUCCAUUCUUUCCUUUCUGAACUAUGAACAUACUUCCUUAUUUUAGAAGACUGAAAACAUCCUUACGGUCCUUGAUUCAUCUAGAAUCCAGCUCAUUUACUCUAUGGUUCAAAAGCACUCUUUAGUAUAUUAAGCAAGGGUAAUGAGGUGGUAGACUACAAUAGAGGCCUGCAGGUCCUUAUCCUGAUAUUCAGUCUUCAAAUACUCCCAUCUCCGCUGAAUCUCUUCUGUGAGACUAAAGUAUUGCUACUACCCUACCCUUUUAAAAAACAAACAAACAAACGUUAAAAAAACAAUCACCACUACUUGUUAACCACCCUCUUGUCUCCAACUUCUCUUAAUCAAGUCUGUGGAACUAGUAGUGAUCUUCUCUCUGCUCGCUCCCGCAGCAUAACCUCCUUGAUCUCUUCUAUCAAUCACCAACGUUGUCCUGAGCACUAAGGGUAUGUCUAUACUACAAGCAAUACAGUGGCACAGUUCAAUUGCUAUAGAGCCUCGUGGAUACUUCAGGGGGACUGAAGGCUCAACUCCAAGGAUGAAGUUGUGGAUGAGGAAGUGGAGCUGGAGGACGAUGUGGCGCACACAACAGGAUCAUCUGUGGUGCAAUAUUCUGCAAUCCGCUGCUGAAGGUUCCUUGGGAGAGCUGCCUUGUUUCUCACCGAAACUUUGCCACGCCACCCGGCAGUUAUUUCUGCAGAGACCAGAGUGGCACACAGGCAAGCAGCAUAGGGGACCAGUCUGAAACCACACACACACAAGAGAUGCACCCUUGCAUCCUGGGUUACCCUUAGGAGUGAGAUAUUGGUUCAAUUACCCUACUCUAAAGGGUACCAAUAUUCAGUCUCCCUAGCCGCUUGUAGUAACCCCCUUCACAAACUAUCCUUUGUCCCUUCUUGCCCAUUCCCCCUUGCUCUCUCUCCUCCCCCGGCAACUCACCAUAUUUGGUACUCAUGCUUAGCUGUGUGCUAGCCAAGGAACAGUGAGAAAGAGGUACGUGUAACUUUUGUGAUUCACAGCUGUGAGCACACUCACAAUUCUAUCUCUGUUCAUUGUUUUUUUGACUUCUGCAGAUGUUCUCCUCCACACCAGCAGAGUGCCUCAGUCAUUGAAGACACUGAACGAGGAAGAGUAAGGACUCUGAAGAUACUUUUUGAGAAAUGAUGCAGUGAACAAACGCAACACAUAGCGAAACAAGAGCAUGGAGGGAGACAAUUAAUUAAAGACUCAGGCUGGAUAGCCUGGAAAGGAGACAGGGACAGGAGUGGAUGAUAAAGCCACUGGUGGGCUAGACAGAGAUGCUGAAGUCCCUCAUUAUGCUGCAGUUUGAGCAAAUCUGCAUGAUUGCCCUUGCAGCCAAUACAGAACUCUCUUCCAUGCCCUCCCCAAAGUCCCCCACCACAUUCCUUGCAUAUUCCCUGUCCCUCACAGUACCCCAUGCAUUCCACGCCAAUGCACUGGUUUCACAACGAAAGCUAGAGAUGCACACAGCUGUGAGAACCCUAACUGCAAGACUGUUCCUCAUUGCUAUGUCCCGUUUGACCAAAAAAUUGUGUUUUGUCCUUUUAUUAAACUUGAGUCUUUGAAAUAAAAUGAGUAUUUGUGUCAUACACAUGUUGGUCAGUGCUAACAUACAAACACAGUGGCUAUAGGUAGGAAUAUUUGCUUAGUACAAUUAAGGCUCAGGAAGCAAGCACUACAGGGGUAAUUCA